UUUCCCCAUAAUUCUUUUCUCCUUCCUCUCUCUUCACUCUCUCUUUCUCUAUAACCGCCGCCUCUCCACCGCCGCCGGAAAAUCGCCCACCGGCGGCCGACCACCUCCAAAUCACCCCAAAAUCGCACCAUGCAAUCUCCACAACCUCCUCUUUACAUAUCUCCAAACAAAAUCCUUAACAAAACCCUCAAACUCCUUGAAUUUUAGAUCUAGGAAACUUAAGACUAACUUUUUUUGCCCAAAUUCUUGAAGUUCCAGCCACUAACACCCCCACAAUACCUACAUCAACGGAUAGAGCUCCUCAAGACCUACCUAUUGAUGUCAAUUCUACACCAAAAAUCUAGCGAUCAAAGUCCGGCCAAAUUCCGGCGACCUCCCGGAACGCCCUUGUUUGGCAUGCCACCAUUUUUCGGCCACUUGAAUUUUAAAAUGGUAUUUCCUCAACUGUUGUACUACUUUUUGGAUCAAGAUUGAAUGAAAAUGAAGUGAUCAAGUCCUUUUAGUAUAUUGUGUUUGUGUAUGACAUGCUUAAAUGAUGUUUGGGUUGUUGUUUAUGUUGCUUGAAUACUUACUAUAUUAAGAUUAUGUUUAUGCCUAAGUAGGAACCCGUAAUUUAGUGUUAGUAUUCAAAGCUUGCAUCCUUAUCACUUCUACUUUAGGUUAUUGAUUAAAAUCAGUUGAGAAGGUUUCUAUAUCUUGCUGAAGUUUUUAUGUUGUUAACUUGUAGAUAGAUUUUUUAAGAUAAGUGCACUUUAAGCUUAAA